GAUGAACGCUGGCGGCGUGCCUAAUACAUGCAAGUCGAGCGAACAGACGAGGAGCUUGCUCCCCUGACGUUAGCGGCGGACGGGUGAGUAACACGUGGAUAACCUACCUAUAAGACUUGGAUAACUUCGUGAAACCGGAUCUAAUACUGGAGAAUAUAUUCAACCGCAUGGUUCAAUAGUUCAAGACGGUUUUCGUGUCACUUAUAGAUGGUUCCGGAUCGCAUUAGCUAGUUGGUAAGGUAACGGCAUACCAAGGCAACGAUGCGUAGCCGACCUGAGAGGGUGAUCGGCCACACUGGAACUGAGACACGGUCCAGACUCCUACGGGAGGCAGCAGUAGGGAAUCUUGCACAAUGGGCGAAAGCCUGACGGAGCAACACCGCGUGAGUGAUGAAGGUCUUCGGGUCGUAAAGCUCUUUUGUUAGGAAAGAAAAAAUGUGUAAGUAACUAUGCACGUCUUGACGGUACCUAAUCAGAAAGCCACGGCUAACUACGUG
rnacentral:rRNA from 1 species